rnacentral:rRNA from 1 species
GAUGAACGCUGGCGGCGUGCCUAAUACAUGCAAGUCGAGCGAAUGGAUUAAGAGCUUGCUCUUAUGAAGUUAGCGGCGGACGGGUGAGUAACACGUGAGUAACCUGCCCUUGACUCUGGGAUAACUGCGGGAAACUGUAGCUAAUACUGGAUACGACCCUCGGAGGCAUCUCCUGGGGGUGGAAAGAAUUUCGGUCAAGGAUGGACUCGCGGCCUAUCAGCUAGUUGGUGAGGUAAAGGCUCACCAAGGCGACGACGGGUAGCCGGCCUGGGAGGGUGACCGGCCACACUGGGACUGAGACACGGCCCAGACUCCUACGGGAGGCAGCAGUGGGGAAUAUUGCACAAUGGGCGCAAGCCUGAUGCAGCAACGCCGCGUGAGGGAUGACGGCCUUCGGGUUGUAAACCUCUUUUAGCAGGGAAGAAGCGAAAGUGACGGUACCUGCAGAAAAAGCACCGGCUAACUACGUGCCAGCAGCCGCCGUAA